rnacentral:rRNA from 1 species
GACGAACGCUGGCGGCGUGCUUAACACAUGCAAGUCGAACGGAAAGGCCCUUCGGGGUACUCGAGUGGCGAACGGGUGAGUAACACGUGGGUGAUCUGCCCUGCACUUUGGGAUAAGCCUGGGAACCUGGGUCUAAUACCGAAUAGGACCACGCGCUUCAUGGCGUGUGGUGGAAAGCUUUUGCGGUGUGGGAUGGGCCCGCGGCCUAUCAGCUCGUUGGUGGGGUAAUGGCCUACCAAGGCGACGACGGGUAGCCGGCCUGAGCAGGUGACCGGCCACACUGGGACUGAGAUACGGCCCAGACUCCAACGGGGGGCAGCAGUGGGGAGUAUUGCACAAUGGGCGCGAGCCUGAUGCAGCGACGCCGCGUGAGGGAUGACGGCCUUCGGGUUAUAAACCUCUUUCAAUAGAGACGAAGCGCAAGUGACGGUACCUAUAGAAGAAGCACCGGCCAACUACGUG